UUGCCGUGUCAGAGAUGCUGACUCGACUGAUCUUUCAACACCAACUCCGAUAAAUGUCUUUAGAAAUGUGCAAAAUAAAAGUAACUGAAGCUGGUGCUUCUGACAGCUGAAAAACGAUCUAAGGCCAUGAUACAGCCAUCUAGCGU